GAUGAACGCUGGCGGCGUGCUUAACACAUGCAAGUCGAACGAUGAAAGCGGGAGCUUGCUCCUGCUGGAUUAGUGGCGAACGGGUGAGUAACACGUGAGCAAUCCGCCCCGAACUCUGGGAUAAGCGUUGGAAACGACGUCUAAUACCGGAUACGACGCGCGAAGGCAUCUUCUGCGCGUGGAAAGAACUUCGGUUCGGGAUGAGCUCGCGGCCUAUCAGCUAGUUGGUGAGGUAACGGCCACCAAGGCGACGACGGGUAGCCGGCCUGAGAGGGUGACCGGCCACACUGGGACUGAGACACGGCCCAGACUCCGACGGGAGGAGGCAGUGGGGAAUAUUGCACAAUGGGCGCAAGCCUGAUGCAGCAACGCCGCGUGAGGGACGACGGCGUUCGGGUUGUAAACCUCUUUUAGUAGGGAAGAAGCGAAAGUGACGGUACCUGCAGAAAAAGCACCGGCUAACUACGUGCCAGCAGCCGCCGUAAUAC
rnacentral:rRNA from 1 species